CAGAGUCAGAAGUUUUCUGUUCUCCGUAGUGGUAGGUUGUUGUGAAUUUGUUUCAGUUAGUUAUGAAAGUUUGCUACGGCUGCUAUUUGUUUUGUUUGAAUAAAAAAGAUUAAAUUUACUGUUAAUUUAUAUGUUUUUAAUUUAUCAUAAUUCAUAAUGCAGUGUGAUGUAUGGAAUUUUUGUUGAGUGAACUUCGUGAAAGUGAAAGGAAUCUUUGACUGUUGCCUACGUGCAUCCAAAUAUUUGCGAACGAGGAAGUUGAAUGAUAUUUCUUGAGGAUAGGAAGAUGUUCAAUCGAUCACAUCCAAUUCAGUGGAUAGUCCAGUGAAAUGGGUAGAUAUAGAACUUAUACGUCCUCUCAUAGACUUGUAGAGUGCCUACAUCCGUCUGGAGGAGAAGGUGGUGCAGGAGGAGGAGGAGUUGGUGCAGGAGUGGUGGAGAUAAUGGACUUUGAAUGGGAUGGGGGAGACAGCUCUUCACUGCCAACAAAUUGUAAAUUGUAAUUGUUGUAUUGUUGUAAAUCCAGCUACCAUCACAUAUUUACAGCUCCAAAACUGGGGAAAGGUCACAGUCGAAUUAUCGAGGACAAAAAGUGGAUGGAGAAACAUGCUGGAAGAGGAAGAGGUUGUAUCUUCACACCAGCAGAGGAGGGGGAGUGGCUGGAGUGUUCAUCAUCAUCAUCCAGUCGCACUUGUGAGCAGCCAGUACAUGCAGCUAUUUUUGCAAUAGUAAAAACUGUUUUUUGUGCAACAAUGAAUUUAAAGUCAACGGUAUUCAAUGCAGACAUCAUUUGCAUAUGACUGGGAUGUAUCUCGGUGCAAUGCAUAAAUCUUGUAAUUUAAAUGCAAAAGCGCCAAAAUUCUUAAAUCAAUCGUGGUGUACCAGGUACAUUUGAAGAUGAAUUAAAUGGGUCCAUAAUUACUGCUCUUAUUGGAUUACAAGCGAAACUUUACUGUUUUGAAUAUGUUCUAAGCAACAGCAGUAGUAGUUGUAGUAGUAGUAGUAGUAGUAGUAGUAGUAGUAAGGAUUUAGCAAGUAGUUCUUCUGAAAUAAUACUGCUAAGGGUGUACCGAGAAUGGUUAUAGAUAAUAAACUGAGGUAUGAUUUGUAUAUGAAAUGCCUGACAGAUAGAUUAAUACAAUGCAAAUGCUUUUCACAA